UUCCCAUUAUUCCACAUUAUUCCCAUUGUUUCCCAUUAUUCCCAUUAUUCCCCGUUAGUCCCCAUUAUUCCCAUUAUUUCCCAUAAUUCCCCAUUAUUCCCCAUAAUUCCCCAUUUCCCUAUAAUUCCCAUUAUCCCCAUUUUCCCCAUUAGUCCCCAUUAUUUCCCAUUAUUCCCCAUUAUUUCCCCAAAUUCCCAUAAUUCCCAUUAUUCCCCAUUAUUCCCAUUAGUCCCCAUUGUUUCCCAUUAUUCCCAUUAUUCCCAUUAUUCCCAUUAUUUCCCAUUGUUUCCCAUUAUUCCCAUUACUCCCCGUAAUUCCCAUAUUCCCCAUUAUUUCCCAUUAUCCUCAUUAUUCCCAUAUCCCCAUUAUCCCCAUUAUUCCCCAUUAUUCCCCAUUAUUCCCAUUAUUCCCCGUAAUUCCCAUAAUUCCCAUUGUUCCCCAUUGUUCCCCAUUUCCCCAUUACCCCCAUUAUCCCCAUCAACCCCAUAAUU
rnacentral:lncRNA from 1 species